rnacentral:rRNA from 1 species
AUGGAUGAGGUCACAAGGGAUAUACAAGGAGAUAUCCCAUGGUGUAUGCUCUUUGCGGAUGAUGUGGUGCUAGUUGACGAUAGUCGGACGGGGGUAAAUAGGAAGUUAGAGUUAUGGAGACAAACCUUGGAAUCGAAAGGGUUUAGGCUUAGUAGAACUAAAACCGAGUACAUGAUGUGCGGUUUCAGUACUACUAGCUGUGAGGAGGAGGAGGUUAGCCUUGAUGGCCAGGUGGUACCUCGGAAGGACAUCUUUCGGUAUUUGGGGUCAAUGUUGCAGGAGGAUGGGGGUAUUGAUGAAGAUGUGAACCAUCGAAUCAAAGCUGGAUGGAUGAAGUGGCGCCAAGCUUCUGGCAUUCUCUGUGACAAGAGAGUGCCACAAAAGCUAAAAGACAAGUUCUACAGGACGGCGGUUCGACCCGCAAUGUUGUAUGGCGCGGAGUGUUGGCCGACUAAAAGGCGACAUGUUCAACAGUUAGGUGUGGCGGAGAUGCGUAUGUUGAGAUGGAUGUGUGGCCACACGAGGAAGAAUCGAGUCUGGAAUGAUGAUAUACAAGAUAGAGUUGGGGUAGCACCAAUUGAGGAGAAGCUUGUCCAACAUCGUUUGAGAUGGCUUGGGUAUAUUCAGCGCAGGCCUCCAGAAGCUCCAGUGCAUAGCGGACGGCUAAAGCGUGCGGAGAAUGUCAAGAGAGGGCGGGGUCGACCGAUUUUGACAUGGGAGGAGUCCGUUAAGAGAGACCUGAAGGAUUGGAGUAUCGACAAAGAACUAGCUAUGGACAGGGGUGCGUGGAAGCUUGCUAUCCAUGUGCCAGAGCCAUGA